CCUACGGGAGGCUGCAGUGAGGAAUAUUGGUCAAUGGCCGGAAGGCUGAACCAGCCAAGCCGCGUGAGGGAGGAAGGCGCAGAGCGUCGCAAACCUCUUUUGCCGGGGGACAAAAGGCCGGACUCGUCCGGUCCUGAGGGUACCCGGAGAAAAAGCAUCGGCUAACUCCGUGCCAGCAGCCGCGGUAAUACGGAGGAUGCGAGCGUUAUCCGGAUUCAUUGGGUUUAAAGGGUGCGCGGGCGGGGCUUUAAGCCGGUGGGGAAAUUUCGGGGCUCAACCCCGCCGGGCCGUCGGAACUGGGGGCCUUGAGUGCGGUGGAGGCAGGCGGAAUGCGCGGUGUAGCGGUGAAAUGCAUAGAGAUCGCGAAGAACCCCGAGUGCGAAGGCAGCGUGCUGUGCCGCAACUGACGCUGAGGCACGAAAGCGCGGGGAUCGAACAGGAUUAGAUACCCUAGUAGUC
rnacentral:rRNA from 1 species